rnacentral:rRNA from 1 species
CCACACCGUAAACGAUGGUAAUUAAAUGUUGGCACGGAAUGUGUCGGUGUUGUAGUUAACACAUUAAAUUACCCGCCUGGGUAGUACAUUCGCAAGAAUGAAACUCAAACGGAAUUGACGGGGACCCGCACAAGUGGUGGAGCAUGUUGCUUAAUUCGACAAUACACGUAAAACCUUACCUAGGUUUGACAUCUCCUGCAAAGCUAUAGAGAUAUAGUGGAGGUUAACAGGAUGACAGGUGGUGCAUGGUUGU